rnacentral:lncRNA from 1 species
UAAAAAAAGGAAUCACUUGAUUUUGGAUGAAGGUUUAUUAUGAAAAUAUUUUUGGGACUUUUGUUAUUUGAAUGUUUUUGUUGUUUUAGAAUAAUGAAUGAAAAUUAAACUAACGGAUCAAUAAAAAUAAAAGCGCGUGAAUUUGUUUGUAGUAACGUUGGAUCACCACAUAAUCCCUAAUCUAAUUUAUUUUUUUUUUUGCAUUUUUGGAUAUAUAUAAAGCGGUAAAGAAAUAAAUGACACGCGCGCACACACUUUUUAUUUAUGAUUUACAUGGAAUAUUACGGCUUGCAUGUAGAUGAAAUUAGUUUCAAACAAUUAAAGUUUAACGGAAUACCAACUCUAAACCGCAACAUCAGCGAAUAGCAGCAAACUUUAAAGUUUAAUGGAAUAUUAUGUCUUUAUUAUAGAUCACAUACAUCAUUAAAUGAAUGAACUUAGAAUGUAGUUUUUU